rnacentral:ncRNA from 1 species
AGUUGAACUGUGAUGGAUAAAGUAGCUCUUUAUAAUUAAAUAACAGAAAAUAGGUGUCGAUGAGAAUCCUAUAAAUUAUAAAGAUGUGAAUUACGCUCCUGAGUUAUAAUGAGAAAUCAUUACGGUUACUAUCCGUUAAAAUAGUCAAAGGCAUAUUUUUAUAUGCAAUUAAGGUGGUACCACGGGUUUUUCUCGUCCUUUAC